rnacentral:tRNA from 1 species
GCCGGCAUAGCUCUUAAGGGUAGAGCAGUCGCUUCGUAAGCGAAGGGUUGGUGGUUCGAAUCCACUUGUCGGCA